CUAAGCACUAAAAUCUUUGGAUUAAAACUUAAAGAGCAUGGCGGCCGCCAAAAACUUCAGGGGAACUUACCAGAUAAUCGAUAACCCGCAAGAUAUAUUACUUAACCUUAUAGUUUGCAUACCGCCGUUUUCAGGUCCCGCUUGUGGUGGUGCCAAGAAGCUAAAAGCAAGAAGACAGGUCAUGGCGCAGCCUAUGGUUGAGACCUAAGGUGAGUUACAAUAAGAUAUUUUUUCGGAUUGAGAACUAAAUUCUUACAUGAAGGUGGACUUGAAAGUAAUUUUUAAAUUUUAAAAUAUAGGCUGAAUUAACUUUUUUGUGGUGC
rnacentral:rRNA from 1 species